UACACGACUCUCGGCAACGGAUAUCUAGGCUCUCGCAUCGAUGAAGAACGUAGCAAACUGCGAUACUUGGUGUGAAUUGCAGAAUCCCGUGAACCAUCGAGUCUUUGAACGCAAGUUGCGCCCGAAGCCGUUAGGCCGAGGGCACGUCUGCCUGGGCGUCACGC
rnacentral:rRNA from 4 species